CUUUCUAGCCUCACGCCCUCUCCUUUCUCUCUCCCUCACAUCUUCAUACCCAAGAGUUGGGCAUUCUUUGGCCUUCACACCCAAAGGAGUUGGGCGUCCUCCAUUUAUAUGCCUAAAAAGUUGGGCGUUCUACCUCCAAGUAAGAAAAAAGACAUUCUCUCUUCUUCUUCCAUCUUUUCUUCAAAGUGCAUGCUGGUUUCUCAGUGAAGAAAUAAGAGAGGAGCAUCCUAGUUGUUCCCAUGGAUACCAAUAG
rnacentral:lncRNA from 1 species